CUACGGGUCGCUCCAGUGGGGAAUAUUGGACAAUGGGGGAAACCCUGAUCCAGCAAUGCCGCGUGUGUGAAGAAGGCCUGCGGGUUGUAAAGCACUUUCGGUUGGGAGGACUGCUUCUAGCACUAAUAUUGUUGGAAGUUGACGUUACCUUCAGAAGAAGCACCGGCUAACUCCGUGCCAGCAGCCGCGGUAAUACGGGAGGUGCAAGCGUUAAUCGGAAUUACUGGGCGUAAAGCGCGCGUAGGCGGCUAGAUCAGUCGGGUGUGAAAGCCCCGGGCUUAACCUGGGAACUGCAUCCGAUACUGUCUAGCUUGAGUACAGGAGAGGAGAGUGGAAUUCCACAUGUAGCGGUGAAAUGCGUAGAUAUGUGGAGGAACACCAAUGGCGAAGGCAGCUCUCUGGCCUGAUACUGACGCUGAGAUGCGAAAGCGUGGGGAGCAAACAGGAUUAGAUACCCCGGUAGUC
rnacentral:rRNA from 1 species